rnacentral:rRNA from 1 species
GAGAGCUUGCUCUCGGGUGACGAGCGGCGGACGGGUGAGUAAUGUCUGGGAAACUGCCUGAUGGAGGGGGAUAACUACUGGAAACGGUAGCUAAUACCGCAUAACGUCGCAAGACCAAAGAGGGGGACCUUCGGGCCUCUUGCCAUCAGAUGUGCCCAGAUGGGAUUAGCUAGUAGGUGGGGUAACGGCUCACCUAGGCGACGAUCCCUAGCUGGUCUGAGAGGAUGACCAGCCACACUGGAACUGAGACACGGUCCAGACUCCUACGGGAGGCAGCAGUGGGGAAUAUUGCACAAUGGGCGCAAGCCUGAUGCAGCCAUGCCGCGUGUAUGAAGAAGGCCUUCGGGUUGUAAAGUACUUUCAGCGAGGAGGAAGGCAUUGUGGUUAAUAACCACAGUGAUUGACGUUACUCGCAGAAGAAGCACCGGCUAACUCCGUGCCAGCAGCCGCGGUAAUACGGAGGGUGCAAGCGUUAAUCGGAAUUACUGGGCGUAAAGCGCACGCAGGCGGUCUGUCAAGUCGGAUGUGAAAUCCCCGGGCUCAACCUGGGAACUGCAUUCGAAACUGGCAGGCUAGAGUCUUGUAGAGGGGGGUAGAAUU